AUUGAACGCUGGCGGCAGGCCUCACACAUGCAAGUCGAGCGAGCGGCGGACGGGUGAGUAAUGUCUGGGAAACUGCCUGAUGGAGGGGGAUAACUACUGGAAACGGUAGCUAAUACCGCAUACCCUCAGAUGUGCCCAGAUGGGAUUAGCUAGUAGGUGGGGGAAUGGCGCACCUAGGCGACGCUCCCGAGCUGGUCUGAGAGGAGGAACAGCCACCCUGGAACUGGGACACGGUCCAGCCGCCUACGGGAGGCAGCAGGGGGGAAUAGUGCACAAUGGGCUCAAGCCUGAUGCAGCCAUGCCGCGGGUGUGAAGAAGGCCUUCGGGUUGGAAAGCACGUUAAGCGGGGAGGCGUUACCCGCAGAAGAAGCACCGGCUAACUCCGUGCCAGCAGCCGCGGUAAUAC
rnacentral:rRNA from 1 species